UUUCCGACAGGGAAUGGAUAUCAAUAAGAAUCAGUUUGUAGAAUCAGUAGUCAGUUUGAGAAAGGAGCGUCAUCGUCUUACAAUACUCGAUCUUCCCAAACCUCGACUCUUAUGUUGCCUAUACCCAAAAGUCGCCUCGUAAAGGACUCUAUUAUAUAUAACGGCUUGAAAAUAUACAACUACCUUCCAGCAAGAAUUAGGGAAAUCAAGAAUUAUAAUAGAUUCAGAGAGUCCUGCUUUAUGAUAAAGACACCUGAAACGCAACAAAAGCCAUCUCAAGUGCAAGAGUUAACCUGGGAAACUGAAAAGAAAUACAACGAAGUUUGUGAAAUAUUGUGGACUAGUCGUGUUGUUGGCGGUGUUGUAAUUCAUUUUUACAAGCACUCUUCUCAAUUUACGAUCGAAUAAUGUUGGUUGAAUGAUCUUUCAUUAGUUGAUAUUAUGUAAUUCACAUGUAUUUUAAACCAUAACCAUAAAAACGACAAAAACCAAUCAUGGCUAACAUUAGCUUUUGAUGUUUUCACUCACAAAAUUAUUUUCGAUAUUUCAUGUUCACAUUUUCACAAAGGUAAAAUAUAGCUGGGAAGUGUU